UCUCCAGAAUGAUGAGGGUCUUUUGUAUGCUGAUGAGAUGACUGAUGGCUGGGGGUCUCUAGAUGAGGUUCUUGCUAUGUUGCCUAGGCUGGUCUUGAACUUCUGGCCUCAAGAAAUCCUCCUCCUGAUCCUCCUGCCUCAGCCUUCCAAAGUGUUGGGAUUACAGCACUGGCUAGAACUUCCAUCCCUGUGGUGAAUAAGAGUGAUGAAAGUGGACACCAUCGUAUUAUUGAAUUGAAGGGAUGUAGAUGGAUAACAUGACCACAGGAGUUAGGCCCCGAAGCAGAUGAUUGCCUCUGGCACCCGCCGUAUGCAAUUCGAGGUGAAAUUUCCAAGAGCCAAAUGAAAUAAUUGCAACAGGAUCAAAGGUCCAAAAGUUGGGAAGUGUGGAGAGCCAGAGAACACAGGAAGAUUUUCUGUGAUGUUAGAAACAAAAUGGUGUAAUACAAGCUGGGAGCUCAUAAAGAAGACAUAAACUACUGUGCCUCCUCCCCAAAGCAGAAGAUGUGUUCUUUCAUGGUGGCAAAACUCUUUCGACUUUGAUCUAAAGUACUGACAAUAACAUUGUACAGGAGAAGUCCACAGCAAUGGAGACCUCCUUCUAACUGGACUUCUUAACAUGAAUCAAACACCCUGUAACACGCUGGCUGCCUUUGUCCUGCCAGAAACUCCUCAAGGCUUACCCUACUGCAGACCACACCAGGCUACAGACCCUGAUCAGGAGAACUCCAUCCCACCAGG